rnacentral:lncRNA from 1 species
UGCAGUCUGUGGCCUCAUGUCCUUUGGGGGACACAGUGGGAAGGUAACCCACAUUUCAGUGACACCAUCAAGAAAGAGACACUGUGGCACUUUCCCCUGAUUUCUCAGGGGCCUUUUCUCUUUUCCCUUUGGGUUACAUGUAGACUUCCCUACUGUCCACCUGACCACUCUCGUGCAGCCCAAAACCAUAGCUUAAGUCAUCAGCUACGCCUUUCUUGGUGUAACUAUUGAAAGAUGAGCCUUACCUGUUCAAUCUCUAGAGAGAUUUGUUCCAAAUCUGGACCUAGAAGAAUAAAUAAACAAGAUUUGCCUGAGUAGGUUUGGCUUCUUCCUUCUUGGGGAAAGCCCUUAAGAAAUAUCAGCCCCUUGGCCAGGUGCCCACCUGUAAUCCCAGCACUCUGGGAGGCCUAGGCGGGCGGAUCACCUGAGGUCAGGAGUUCGAGACCAGCCUGGCCAACACGAUGAAACCCCGUCUCCACUAAAAAUAUAAAAAAAUUAGCCGGGUGUGGUGGUGGGCACCUGUAAUCCCAGCUACUCUGGAGGCUGAGGCAAGAGAAUUGCUUGAACCCAGGAGACGGAGAUUGCAGUGAGCCAACAUGGUGCCACAGAACUCCAGCCUGGGAAACAGAGUGAGACUCUGUUUCAAAAAAAAAAAAAGGAAAUAUCAGACCGUUUGCCCAACAACUCCUUGUGACCCUCCUUUAGGAACACAGGGAAAAUCCCCCCGGCUCCACACACUAUAGCGCAGGACAGACCCACAGAGAACAAGACCCAAGAGAACCCACCAUAAUACAAACUCAGGGCGGGGUUUCCACCAUCAAAUGUUCAAGCUUGCAGUGGGUGGGAGAGGGUAGUGGGUCCUGAGCUCCAGAUUUUCGUGGAGGUGGGAGGUGGGCAUUAGGCUUUGGACACAUGUAGGCCCAAAUUACAUCUGUGCAAACUCACACACAAUGAAGAUUACACCAGAUCGGGUGAGAGGGUUUAGAAAUGACAGAAAGCAUAGGAAGAGGCUGAAAAUAUGGACUUCCCUGUAAACUGUGAGGACAGUAAAUGCCAGCAACACCCCAGGAGGUGUUUACAGCUGCAUUUCUUCAAUUAACAGGGCAAAAUUAGAGCAGCAACAACCAGACAAGGGCCAGGCACUUCCCCUGGGGCAACUGAUGUAAACCUGGAAAUCAGCCACCCUGGGUGUCACCAUUUCAUGAUGAAUCAAAUAUACAGAGAAGUCCACUGAUGGGUUCAGCAUCAGAAAGCUAAUAAAUAAAGCCAGAGCCCCAGGCAUAUAUUGAAUGCUCAUUGACUGAAAAUCAACCUCACUGGAUAAGCGCAAAGAAACUCACUUUCCACAUCCCUUACGGUAUCCUCUCUGGUGGGUAUUUGCUCUGUAAAUUACAUACAACGGAAGAAAAAGAAGAAAAUGAAAACUCAGGAAAGUAAACACACUUCUAAGUUCAUGAAUAGUAAAAUAUGAAAAUAUCCCUGAGAAUCUAUGAGAAUAUCCAAAGAAAAUGCAAAAUAGGAGGGUAAAAAGGCCAUUUGGCAAAGCCUACAAAAUGAGUCCAAAAUAUGGUUCACAAGGAAACUUACCUUCCAACGCAUCCAAAACAGAAGAACAGCAAAAGAAGCUCCUGAUUCCUAUUGACAGGCUGUAAGGAAGUCAAGGCCAUAUGGAAACACUACAUGUAGGGACUCAGUCCCAGCUGAGCCCCCUCUUCCAACAUCCCAAGCCAGGUAUCAGGUGUGAAGGAACAAGCCUCCAAACGGUUCCAGACCCCAGCUGUUGAGUCUUCUGUGCUGAGGCCAGACAUCAUGGAACAGAGACAAGUGGGCUACCCUUGUGCCAUGUCUGAAAUCCUGACUAUAAGCAUGAGAAUCCACAAACAUAAUAAAAUGAUGGCUUGAGCCACUAAAUUUUGGUGUAAUUCCUGACAUAGUAAUAGUGUCUGUAACAGCCACUUUAACACAUUAAGUAACAAUAGCAAGUAGCAAGUCAUCACUGGGAAGUGUUAUCUGGAAUUGUCAUUGGGAAGCAGUGACAACCAUGAAGGCUAUUUGGAGAUGCUGUCACAUGACAUAAAAACUGCUGUGGUCUGACCGCUAAUAAUGCCCCAUACCCAAGGGGUCUACAGCCUGUAUUCAAGAUGGAAGGAAACACUAUAUUUUGGCUAGAGGUAUGUGAAAAUUUCAUUCAUGGGCCCUUCUCAUGGGCCCUAAACUUGGCUGAUGGAACUGCGGGUAAUAAACUCAGAGUUAUGGCCGGGUGCGGUGGUUUACGCUUGUAAUCCCAGCACUUUGGGAGGCCGAGGCGGGUGGAUUACGAAGUCAGGAGAUCGAGACCGCGGUGAAACCCCAUCUCUACUGAAAAUACAGAAAAUUAGCUGGGCCUGGUGGCGGGUGCCUGUAGUCCCAGCUACUGGGAGAGGCUGAGGCAGGAGAAUAGCGUGACCCCAGGAGGCGGAGCUUGCAGUGAGCUGAGAUCACACCACUACACUCCAACCUG